rnacentral:sRNA from 1 species
UGCCUCAUACAAAUCCAUGAUCGAUUUGGUACGUUGA